rnacentral:rRNA from 1 species
AAACCAACCGGGAUUGACCUCAGUAACGGCGAGUGAAGCGGCAAAAGCUCAAAUUUGAAAUCUGGCACUUUCAGUGUCCGAGUUGUAAUUUGUAGAAGUAGUUUUGGGACUGGUCCUUAUCUAUGUUUCUUGGAACAGGACGUCAUAGAGGGUGAGAACCCCGUAUGAUGAGGCCCCCAGUCCUUUGUAAAACGCUUUCGAAGAGUCGAGUUGUUUGGGAAUGCAGCUCUAAGUGGGUGGUAAAUUCCAUCUAAAGCUAAAUAUUGGCGAGAGACCGAUAGCGAACAAGUACAGUGAUGGAAAGAUGAAAAGAACUUUGAAAAGAGAGUGAAAAAGUACGUGAAAUUGUUGAAAGGGAAGGGCAUUUGAUCAGACAUGGUGUUUUGCGCCCUUUGCUCCUUGUGGGCGGAGGAUACGCAGCUCACUGGGCCAACAUCAGUUUUGGGAGCAGGAUAAAUCUGUAGGAACGUAGCUUUCUUCGGGAAGUGUUAUAGCCUAUGGGAAUACUGCUACCUGGGA